rnacentral:misc_RNA from 1 species
GAUGAAGAACGUAGCGAAAUGCGAUAAGUAGUGUGAAUUGCAGAAUUCAGUGAAUCAUCGAAUCUUUGAACGCACAUUGUGCCUUCUAGUAUUCUGGGAGGCAUGCCUGUUUGAGCGUCAUUAAACCUCUCUCAAGUAUGAUUACUUGGAUGUGAAGGAAGAGUACCUUAAACUUAAGGAGUGUUCUCCUUUGAAAUUGAUUAGCAGAUGGUAAUGUUAUUAAAUCCCUGAUGUUGUAAGAAAUAACAGUGGUUUUGUAGACUAUUAUCUAGCUUUAAAUUAUAAUUUUUAUUAUGGUUGACCUCAAAUCAGGUAAGGAUACCCGCUGAACUUAAGCAUAUCAAUAAGCGGAGGA